rnacentral:lncRNA from 1 species
GAAAGGUAAGUUUCCACGAAACACCCUUUUUAUCUUCUACUAAAACAAGAAAAUUAAAAAAAAGGUCGCUAAGUAUUCUCGAACUUUGUCCCCAGCCGGCCAGCAUUAGGGUUUUAAACCCUAAACUAAGUUUUUCCAUGCAGUCAGCAUUAGGGUUUUAAACCCUAAACUGACCUUUUUUCCUUUAAUCAGCAUUAGGGUUUUAACCCUAACUGAACUUUUUCCAUUCAGCCAGCAUUAGGGUUUUAAGCCCUAAACUGAGCUUUUCCAUGCAAUCAGCAUUAGGGUUUUAAACCCUAAACUGAAUUUUUCCUUUAGUCAGUAUUAGGGUUUUAAACCCUAAACUGAACUUUUUUCCAUUCAGCCAGCAAUAGGGUUUUAAACCCUAAACUGAGCUUUUCCAUGCAAUCAGCAUUAGGGUUUUAAACCCUAAACUGAAUUUUUCCAUGCAAUCAGCAUUAGGGUUUUAAACCCUAAACUGAGCUUUUCCAUUCAGCCAGCAUUAGGGUUUUAAACCCUAAACUGACCUUUUCCAUUCAGUCAGCAUUAGGGUUUUAAACCCUAAACUGAACUUUUUCCUUCAGCCAGCAUUAGGGUUUUAAACCCUAAACUGAGCUUUUCCAUGCAAUCAUCAUUAGGGUUUUAAACCCUAAACUGAAUUUUUCCUUUAGUCAACAUUAGGGUUUUAAACCCUAAACUGAACUUUUUUCCAUUCAGCCAGCAUUAGGGUUUUAAACCCUAAACUGAGCUUUUCCAUGCAAUCAACAUUAGGGUUUUAAACCCUAAACUGAAUUUUUCCACGUAAUCAGCAUUAGGAUUUUAAACCCUAAACUGAGAUUUUACAUUCAGUCAGCAUUAGGGUUUUAAACCCUAAACUAAGCUU